CUCUCCGGGUGGGUAAUAAAAUGAGUCUACGUAGGGAGGAAGCAGGAUGUAUAAAGCCCAGGAGCCUGAUCUGUUUCUGAGAUCAAACAGAGCAGCAUUGUACCGGGGUGUGGAGCUGAUGUCAGCAUCUAGAAUGCUGGUCGGAAUCGCCCUGGUUACGCAGCUGGACCGGAAUAAGGCAAGGUUGUGAGUUCAAGCCCAGAAAAAGAAGGAGAAGAAAAAGAAGAAUGGAGAAGUUCUGAUGAAGUAGAUGCCAAGGCUGCUCCUUCCGACGUUUGCAUUCGAGCAUUAUCUGGGUGAGAAGACCUGGGACCACCAGCUCCAUGGAAACUCUCUACUCCUGACAGAUGGCUUGCUUGUCCAAACCCAUCAUUUUUUUUCUUCAAAUACACACAGCCCAACGUGGGAAUGAAGACAGAAAAACAUAAAUGCCCCUCAAAACCCAAAGUCUCAACCAACAACCCCAUAAUCUAGCACACCCCAAUAAACGUAGAUCCAUAAUGA